UGUUGUCUCUAUUUAAACCGUUGGCUUUGCACGGAUUACACAGACGCAUCCUACCUGUAGAGGACAUUAUCACUGCGCAGCCUUCACCAGAACUCUUUCAACAUGGAAGGGAAACCCACUAAGGUCAAUGCUGAGGUCGAGCAUUUUGACAAAUGUAAACUAAAACCGACUACUACAAAAGAAAAAAAUUGUAUUCCAACCAAGAAAGACAUUGAAGAUGAGAAGAAAGAACAGGAAAAACCUUAACUUCUUUAAAAUGUAAAGAAGUAACCAAACAUGCCUGCCAUGAUUCCUCUUCUCCACGCCUGACCCCUUACGUGCCAGUACACCAGUCAGGAAGCCUGCCCAUCAUCUCCGCCUCUGCCUCUGUUUUCCACGCUGCUAUGUUUGAUUAUAAAUGGUGUUUGGGUUGAUGCUACGGGAAGAAAAUUGGUCUGUGAUACCAAAGUAAAUGAAUUCAAUAGAUGUAUUUUCCGGGCUUUUUUCCAUGCAAUGACGUAAAAGACAGUAAUAAAGAUAUGACAGGGUGUAGCUUAAAUCCAACCAACAUGAACAACUGUAUCAAUGGAAAUCCAUCAAAGCUCCUGCUGUGUUAACAAUACCACAGGUAUACUGCCAAAUCGUGCCAUAAAAAAAAUAGUUUUAUUCAAAUAAAAAAAUCAAUGUUAAAA